UGUAUAUAUAUUUGCAUAUACAUUAGUGCAAACACACAUGCAUAUAUGCAUAUACAGGAAUAACUGAGAAUUACUGAUUGAGGUUUGAUCUUUUAUGGCUCAUCAGUGGCUGAUUAGUGCAGACUGAAUGCUGGGGAUCUCUUUGACUGGAGACUCAGCUUUCUGACAACAGAAAUUCCCUACAUGCUGCCAAACACAAUUUCCCUAGAAAGUCUCCUGCAUUUUUUCAUCCCAGCAAUCAAUAACGUGUGGCCUGCUCCCAUGGAGCACGUAACUAUAUUAGGGUUUUGUACUUCAGUUGAAUUUGUAUCUCCAUUGAAUUUAAAGUUUGCAGGACCACGUGUAAUAUCCAAGCAAACACAAAAGCUAAUGGUAUAGGCCACACCUGGCCAGAUUCAAUAUUGAAUGCCUGUGUGAAUAAUGGCAUCAUUGUGUCAGGCAGAGUUUACAAUGGAAAUUCAGAGCAGCUACAGGUGGUUUGAAAUCAAACAAAAAAAAAAAAAAAGUCCGAUUACUCAGUGAGCUUUCUAAAACAUGUUUGCAAAUCAGUAUCAGCUGAUGAUCAGUUCUUUUAGGUAAGUAGCCAUCUGUUACCCAUCAUGUGCUUUCAGUAAAUAAGAAUCCUCUGUGGGUAGUCUGUGUGCUUUGGGAUUCUUCCUGGAUGUCUGAUCUGCUCUUGAAGUAAGGCUUGUAGAUAGACUGCAGUCUUGCCCUUGCUUUCAGGUUUCCUGGAAAGACCCCACAACAGGUGCUGUUUGAGGAGUAAGGGGACUCCCUGACAAGAGUUGCAUUGGUAUGAAAAAGAAAUUAUUUGGCUUGGUGGAUGCAGGACUCCCUUUCCUUGUUUUGCUGGUAUACAGAAAUCCUAACAGUAUUCCUGUCGUUGGGGGCCACACUGCUUUCUAAGUUUUCCUGUCCUGAAGAAUUUGAAUGAUAUGGAGCACUUUCCACUGCUCAGCUUUACCAGGUUUGGGUUGCCACUGAAACAGCACCUCUGGUUUUACAAUAACAUCCGCACACCCAGUCAUAAGGUUCCUGAUGCAGAGGGUCACUGCUCACUUUUGUCCCACUUUCAUGGUGGGAAACAUCUUGGUGGUCUCCAUUUUCCUCCUUACCUUUUCCUUCCCACUCCCCCACAGUUCAGAGUGACAUCUAGUGACUGGGACAACUCGUGGAAGGCUUUGCUCCUCUCCUGUGCCACAUGCACAUGUUUUAUAUAAAGAAGUGCCAGGUUUUGACCCUGAAAUGUGGCACCUUGACAAGGCAAGGCCCUGGGCUGGAGGAAUUUAUCAAGACAGGUUGAAGGAGAACCUUAGCUUGCAGCUCAUUCUUAUCUACUGUCCUACGUCCACUUCCCUUUGAAGUUGAUGGAAAGCUUUCCCUGAUUAUAAUGCAAGUCAGGCAAGUACUUAAAUAAAAUAUAAUUUCUUCUCCCUUUUUUCAUAAUUUUCAAUGUAUGUCUUCCCGCAUUUCACCAGAGAGGUUUUCUGGCAUGGAAUCUCUCUGUUUUAUUUUGUGGAGGUGGUAGGUGUUCAUAAACAAUGAACUUAGUCCAGGCUAAGUUCAUUAUUGCUGUUUUUCUGUACUUUUUGUGUUUCAUGUUCCCUUAUUUAAUUGUUUUGAAUAAAGCAAAACAAAACCAAAAAUUAAUUACUGAGUAUUUCCCCACAUUUCACAAACUUCCUUUUUGAGUCAUUGUUUGUGUGCCCUCCCUGGGAACUUGGUUCUGAUCUCUUCUGUUUUCUUGCUGAUGUGGUCUGAUAUGUUUUGAAAGCAGAAGGAUAAUUUAACCAAGCUAUGUUUCUAGCCCAGCCUUGCAUUUGGUAUCAUAAUUAACUUUAAAACAUGCGAUUGGUGAUUCUCUUGGGUAAAUUGUGAAAUUAAUGUUCAAUUACCUCUGUCUCUGAAUUCCAGAAAAUAGCAUGCAUUUUUCAGGAAAAGACUAUUUUGCAUUCUUUUGAGGUAUUCUUCAUGUAUGCUAAUUAAUUUUAAAACAAAUAAAGAAAAAAAACCCUUUUUGUAUGGGCAGGGA